GAUGAACGCUGGCGGCGUGCCUAACACAUGCAAGUCGAGCGAGAAAUUUAUGAACAAAACUUCGGUCUAGUGAUUAAAUGGAAAGCGGCGGACGGGUGAGUAACGCGUAGGCAACCUGCCCCUUACAGAGGGAUAGCCUCGGGAAACCGGGAUUAAAACCUCAUAACGCGGAAGAAGCACAUGCUUCUACCGCCAAAGAUUCAUCGGUAAGGGAUGGGCCUGCGUCUGAUUAGCUAGUUGGUGAGGUAACGGCUCACCAAGGCGACGAUCAGUAGCCGACCUGAGAGGGUAAUCGGCCACAUUGGAACUGAGACACGGUCCAAACUCCUACGGGUGGCAG
rnacentral:rRNA from 1 species